GCGCGGGUGGCGGAAUUGGUAGACGCGCUACCUUGAGGGGGUAGUGGGAGAAAUCCCGUGGAGGUUCAAGUCCUCUCUCGCGCACCA
rnacentral:tRNA from 1 species